CACGUAGGGUGCGAGCGUUGUCCGGAAUUAUUGGGCGUAAAGAGCUCGUAGGCGGUUUGUCGCGUCUGCCGUGAAAGUCCGGGGCUCAACCCCGGACUUGCAGUGGGUACGGGCAGACUAGAGUGUGGUAGGGGAGACUGGAAUUCCUGGUGUAGCGGUGAAAUGCGCAGAUAUCAGGAGGAACACCCGUGGCGAAAGCGGCUCUCGUGGGACGGUACUGACGCUGAGACGCGAAAGCGUGGGGAGCAAACAGG
rnacentral:rRNA from 1 species